GUCGAGCGGUAACAGGGGGAGCUUGCUCCCCGCUGACGAGCGGCGGACGGGUGAGUAAUGCAUAGGAAACUGCCCAGUAGUGGGGGAUAGCCCGGGGAAACCCGGAUUAAUACCGCAUACGCCCUUCGGGGGAAAGCAGGGGAUCUUCGGACCUUGCGCUAUUGGAUGUGCCUAUGUCGGAUUAGCUAGUUGGUGGGGUAAGAGCCUACCAAGGCGACGAUCCGUAGCUGGUCUGAGAGGAUGAUCAGCCACAUCGGGACUGAGACACGGCCCGAACUCCUACGGGAGGCAGCAGUGGGGAAUAUUGGACAAUGGGGGCAACCCUGAUCCAGCCAUGCCGCGUGUGUGAAGAAGGCUUUCGGGUUGUAAAGCACUUUCAGUGAGGAGGAAAACCUUACGACUAAUACUCGUGAGGCUUGACGUUACUCACAGAAGAAGCACCGGCUAACUCCGUGCCAGCAGCCGCGGUAAUACGGAGGGUGCAAGCGUUAAUC
rnacentral:rRNA from 1 species